CUCAAUUCAACUUGAUUGGCUGAGCACACUAGGGCAAAACCUUGAAACAAAUUUGGUGAACUCAUGCAGUGGGUUCUUGUGAUCAGUGCUCCAGAUCAAACAUAACAGAUGGAUAAUAUAUAAAUAUAUAUUUUUUAAAACCUUUUUGCUAAAGGAAAUAGGGAAACUCAUACUGCAUCUCUCAUCAUCACACACUGUGAAAAUGACAGCAAGAUAAACAGGAAACAGAGACACAGGAAGUUGUGUGAAACGAGGGACGGCAGCGGUGUAAACUAGUCCAACAAACUACGUAUGCUAAUAACAAGGAUGCUGAUGUGUCCACAAACGUGUAUUUGCAGCAUUCCAACCCUCCUCAAUAGGAAGAAGCAGAUACAUCAAAUGUCAUUGUGCUAAGGGAACAGAAACCUUUGAGGUGGCAGUGGUUUGCUUGAAAAGAGCAAACCUUGCUAUCAAAUUGAAAUGCAAGUGUUUGGCUGCCCUAAAAAAAAAAAAAAGGCCCCCCCAUAGCCCAACUCCUGACCUGAGGCCAGACAGAGGGAAUCCUGGAUCAGAAGCGUGACCCAUGACAACGCACGCUCCAAUCAUAACCAGCAGAGGAGCAUGGUCUUCCCAGCCGUAGAGAUACCAACCUAUCCCAGUGACACAGCAGAUCUUCUCACUCAACGUGUGUGGGGCUUACACCAGGACACAAGGACACAGUCUAGUUUAAAGAGAGGUUGAAUCCAAUGUUUGUGUCACAAUGUUUGCAGGUGGUACAGUUUUGUUUUUGACCACCACUAUUUUUGAAACUUUCAGUAACAUUAAUAAAGCCAACAGGUAGAAUGCG